ensembl:lncRNA
CUUUUAUUACAAUUCUAAUCAUUUCAGUUAAGGGACUUGUUUGAAGUCCCUUUUAGAAGGGAUUGAGAGAACUUUUGCCCAUCUCUGAUUCACUCUACCUAGUUGCCAACUCUGCCUACGGCAAUACUGCACCCCAAGAAAGAAGGGGAGGAUGUUUCAAAGAUAGGGGAGCAAUUUGCUGGGAUUCCGGUUAAAACAAAACAAAACUGGUUCCAUCCAAAGAGCCAAGAUCAGGGGUGGGGAGGAACAGAAGAGGGAAAGGAACGGUCAAGUUUUCUGAGUUUGUGGCGUUGCUCUUCUGAAAGCAGAGGGCAAGAGAAUAGCUGUGUACCUGGGAAAAGAAACUGGGACGAAGGAACAGUCCAAGGUGGCAGCGCGGGCAAGGCAACAAAGCAUGGACGCGAACGUGGCGGGGGAGCUAAACCCAGCCGGGCUAUGUCUGAUCCAGGCGACGAACUCUAGAGAGUUGCCAGUCUGCUCCUUCUGACCUCAGGUCCUCGGCCAUCGCAUAUUGUCGCACAGAGAUGGAAAACAAACCUCAGGAAAGAAGGAAACUUUUCCCCUAGCCCAGCCGGUGCGGGAAAGGGGAAGGUGUGCGGCAGCGGUGGCGCGAAACGGAGAGCUAGGGACCCGCAGCCCUGAGCGCGGGGACCGAUAACUUGCGGGUUCGGACGCCUGCCCUCGGUAGACCUGCAGACCCUGGAUCACAUAGCCCCAUUCAAAGUACAACGGAGAGAGGCGUCCUUAGGUUCCCAAUACCCCAAGAGCUAUCUAAUCUUCCUUCUUUGCUGCGGAGUCCAAACCCCGGCAGUUCGGGAUGUCUCUCCCCCUCCCCCCACCCCAACCCGAUCCAUUUCUGUAUAAAACCAAGUUAUCCUACAAGGGAUGCAACCACCAAGAGGGCCUUGGGAUGUAGGGGAACGAAGAGAAGGGGGCUGGUUCCUAUUUUGCAUUCGUGUGGACUGUCUCCUACGGAGUUUAUAGGAGUCUUUCAAAAUGGUCAGGCUCCCUCUCUUCAUCACGGGGUUGAGGGAAAGUGGGAGGAAGAUGAGGUUAUUUAAAGCUCAUUUGCUACCAGUACAAAAUGUUCCAGCUCUCCCUCUCCUGUCUCGGCGCGCCUCUGCCCAGCCUUUGAUAUUUAAGACCGGCAAGAUCUCCCAUGAAACUACCUGUUAAGGGAACGAGUGACACCGCAUUCUUAAGGGCUCGUCAUGUCUUAAAAAAAGAAAAGAAAAAAAGUCAAUCACAUUCUUUUGAGAGGGGGUUGUUCUUGAGGUGGCACCGGGAGGGUGCCCCGUGGGUGGGGAAGAGAAGCAGCAGAGGCAUGUAAGCACUGCUGUCCAUCAGCCGCCCAUCCAAACUGUCCCCAAUCCGUCCCCGCUCGGCUCCAUUCCUGAGCACCAGCCCGGACUAUCCUCGCUAGUUCGUACGGACAUUGGCCGCACUGAAGGGCACGAACAUGUCCCUAGAAUGCUAGCUUUGGGGGACGACUCGAGAUUCCUAGUUGACUUUGGCAGAGCGGGUUUCCUGACUUGACAAAAACCAAAACCAAAACCGCCUCCCCUAGUUAGGGCUUUCCUUCCUCAGCCCCGAGCCAGCUCCCCAAGCUUAAGAAGCCAGUCAGGUGAAUUGCUCGAGUUUGAAUUCAACUGUUUUCUUGACAUUUCGGAAAACUUCGAUCACGUUGUUCCUGAAGCUUAAUCUAUUAAUUUGUUAAAUCUAUCAUUUUGUGUCCUUAAAUACAAAGGAAAAAAAUCAUAGAGCUAUUGGGAGGGAGGGAGGAAGGAGUGGUACAAAUCUUAUUUUCAAUAUCGUUUUAUCCAGUUUCCUUUGAUAUUUUCACCUCGUACUUCGCAACAUUAUUUGUAUUAUUUUUGGUCCUGACUUAGGUUACGACAUAAUUUGCCAGUAGCUGAUGCAUUGGAUCUGGGUGGUUUAAAGCAAUAAAAUAAAAUAAAACCCUAGUCUGUGAAGACUAUCUGGA